AACGAACGCUGGCGGCAUGCCUAACACAUGCAAGUCGAACGAGACCUUCGGGUCUAGUGGCGCACGGGUGCGUAACGCGUGGGAACCUGCCCUUAGGUUCGGAAUAACUCCCCGAAAGGGGUGCUAAUACCGGAUAAUGUCUUCGGACCAAAGAUUUAUCGCCUUUGGAUGGGCCCGCGUUGGAUUAGCUAGUUGGUAGGGUAAAAGCCUACCAAGGCGACGAUCCAUAGCUGGUCUGAGAGGAUGAUCAGCCACACUGGGACUGAGACACGGCCCAGACUACUACGGGAGGCGGAAGUGGGGAAUAUUGGAAAAUGGGCGAAAGCCUGAUCCAGCAAUGCCGCGUGAGUGAUGAAGGCCUUAGGGUUGUAAAGCUCUUUUACCCGGGAUGAUAAUGACAGUACCGGGAGAAUAAGCUCCGGCUAACUCCGUG
rnacentral:rRNA from 1 species